GCUUGGNCGUAAAAUAUUAACCCACACUCAAACCGCCAGAGAACUACGAGCGCAAGCUUAAAACUCAAAGGACUUGACGGUGUCCCACCCACCUAGAGGAGCCCGUUCUAUAAUCGAUAACCCCCGAUCCACCCUACCGCCUAUUACAUUCUAGCCUGUAUACCUCCGUCGCAAGCCUACCGCCUGAGCGCACCAAAGUAGGCCAAAAGAUUAGACAUCAACACGUCAGGUCAAGGUGCAGCCCAUGAGGCGGAAAGAAAUUGGCUACAAUCUCUACCCUAGAACAAACGGAAAGCUGUUGCAACACAGCUCUGAAGGCGGAUUUAGCAGUAAAAAGAGAGUAGAGAGCUCUUUUUAAUUGGCACUGGGACGUGUACACACCGCCCGUCACCCUCUUCAAAACAAUACAACACGUUACUAACCCAACAUACAUACGCAGAAGAGGCAAGUCGUAACACGGUAAGCCUACUGGAAAGUGCGCUUGGAAA
rnacentral:rRNA from 1 species